UACGUAGGGGGCGAGCGUUGUCCGGAGUUACUGGGCGUAAAGCGCACGCAGGCGGUCCGCUAAGUUUGAAGUGACAGUUGGUGGCUCAACCACCAAAGUGCUUUGAAAAACUGACGGACUUGAGGGCUUCAGAGGGACACGGAAUUCCGGGUGGAGUGGUGAAAUGCGUAGAGAUCCGGAGGAACACCGGAAGGCGAAGGCAGUGUCCUGGGGAGUACCUGACGCUCGAGGUGCGGAAAGCCAGGGGAGGCGAACAGGG
rnacentral:rRNA from 1 species